rnacentral:rRNA from 1 species
CCUACGGGAGGCAGCAGUAGGGAAUCUUGGACAAUGGGGGCAACCCUGAUCCAGCCAUGCCGCGUGAGUGAAGAAGGCCCUAGGGUCGUAAAGCUCUUUCGCCUGUGAUGAUAAUGACAGUAGCAGGUAAAGAAACCCCGGCUAACUCCGUGCCAGCAGCCGCGGUAAUACGGAGGGGAUUAGCGUUGUUCGGAAUUACUGGGCGUAAGGCGCGCGUAGGCGGAUUGGAAAGUUGGGGGUGAAAUCCCGGGGCUCAACCCCGGAACUGCCUUCAAAACUCCCAGUCUAGAGUUCGAGAGAGGUGAGUGGAAUUCCGAGUGUAGAGGUGAAAUUCGUAGAUAUUCGGAAGAACACCAGUGGCGAAGGCGGCUCACUGGCUCGAUACUGACGCUGAGGUGCGAAAGUGUGGGGAGCAAACAGGAUUAGAUACCCUGGUAGUCCACACCGUAAACGAUGAAUGCCAGUCGUCGGAUAGUAUACUAUUCGGUGACACACCUAACGGAUUAAGCAUUCCGCCUGGGGAGUACGGUCGCAAGAUUAAAACUCAAAGGAAUUGACGG